AGGCAGUGCACCGACUUCUAACAUGCAGUCCAACGUGAUGGGGACCCUGCCUGAGAUGUAGACAGCCUGACAGGGCCGAAGCCAACUCACAAUGAGGAGAUGGACACGGUUUGGUCCCCUGGAGCUGUCCUUGUAGGUAAUCUCUGAGUAUUAAAAGGAUCAGCAAUGAAGGAUUAAGCUUUUUGAUUGCAGGUGCCAUCGAGGUAAUCUUUGGGAGCAGAUGAGCAUUGGAGGUAACCCAGAAGAUGACAGCACAUUGUCCGACUCGAGUCAGAGCCAGCGACCCGAGGCCCUGCCUCGGUGAGAGUG